rnacentral:rRNA from 1 species
UACGGGGGGGGGCAAGCGUUGUUCGGAAUUACUGGGCGUAAAGGGCUCGUAGGCGGCCAACUAAGUCAGACGUGAAAUCCCUCGGCUUAACCGGGGAACUGCGUCUGAUACUGGAUGGCUUGAGUUCGGGAGAGGGAUGUGGAAUUCCAGGUGUAGCGGUGAAAUGCGUAGAUAUCUGGAGGAACACCGGUGGCGAAGGCGGCAUCCUGGACCGACACUGACGCUGAUGAGCGAAAGCCAGGGGAGCAAACGGGG